GAUGAACGCUGGCGGCGUGCUUAACACAUGCAAGUCGAACGGUGAAACAGGAGCUUGCUCCUGCGGAUCAGUGGCGAACGGGUGAGUAACACGUGAGCAAUCUGCCCCGGACUCUGGGAUAAGCGUUGGAAACGACGUCUAAUACCGGAUACGAGCUGCGAAGGCAUCUUCAGCAGCUGGAAAGAAUUUCGGUCCGGGAUGAGCUCGCGGCCUAUCAGCUUGUUGGUGAGGUAACGGCUCACCAAGGCGACGACGGGUAGCCGGCCUGAGAGGGUGACCGGCCACACUGGGACUGAGACACGGCCCAGACUCCUACGGGAGGCAGCAGUGGGGAAUAUUGCACAAUGGGCGCAAGCCUGAUGCAGCAACGCCGCGUGAGGGACGACGGCCGUUCGGGUUAGUAAACCUUCUUUAGUAGGGAAGAAGCGAAAGUGACGGUACCUGCAGAAAAAGCACCGGCUAACUACGUG
rnacentral:rRNA from 1 species